rnacentral:rRNA from 1 species
AUUGAACGCUGGCGGCAUGCCUUACACAUGCAAGUCGAACGGCAGCGGACCUUCGGGUGCCGGCGAGUGGCGAACGGGUGAGUAAUGCAUCGGAACGUGCCAUUGAGUGGGGGAUAACGUAGCGAAAGUUACGCUAAUACCGCAUAUUCUGUGAGCAGGAAAGCAGGGGACCGCAAGGUCUUGCGCUCUUUGAGCGGCCGAUGUCAGAUUAGCUAGUUGGUGAGGUAACGGCCCACCAAGGCAACGAUGGGUAGCGGGUGUGAGAGCAUGACCCGCGUCAUUGGGACUGAGAACUGCCCAGACACCUACGGGUGGCUGCAGUCGAGAAUCUUCGGCAAUGGACGCAAGUCUGACCGAGCGACGCCGCGUGCGGGAUGAAGGCCUCGGUUGUAAACCGCUGUCGUAGGGGAACAAGUGUACGGGGGUUCGUCCCCGUCGUAUUUGUAGUGAUCCUAGGAGGAAGGAGAGGCUAAGCUCGUGCCAGCAGCCGCGGUAAUC